CCCUUCAUCUAAUGCCCUGAUUUGAUGGUGAUCAGAUCUAAAAAGUGAAAAAAGAGAGAAGAAGAGAAGAAGAAGGAUUCUUCUUUUCAUGGUGAUCUGGUGCAGAUCCCGUCGGAUCUGUGAAAGAGUUCGUGCAGUGAUCUCCUUCUUCGAGAUCUAGAAGAAGAGAUCUAGAUCCAAGGAUGAGGAGCGAGAUCUGUAAGGUACUAGCAGACUAGUGAUCUUAGUGCUUCGAUUAGACAUCCCCAUAUGGAUACCAACAGAGGUCAGUCACGUGCGCGGUUCGAUCAGAACUCGAGAC
rnacentral:lncRNA from 1 species